rnacentral:lncRNA from 1 species
GGCGUGCGCGUGAUCGCUCCCGGCCGCCGGGGGUCGAGUGUACUCUGCGCGCCCCGCCCGCCGUCGUCUGCCCCCCGCGAGGCUGGGGAGCGCGGCCGAAAGCCAUGCCCCUCUUCGUGCCCACUGUAGCAGCUGAGCGGGAGGGGUCCUGCUGGGGGCCGGGGCCGGGCGGGAAAGAAGAGGGCUCCUCCCCCGCGGCUUGGGUGAGGAGCGGGGCUUGCCGGGGGGCGGGGAAGCGAGGGGGGGCGCCGCCCCACCCCCUUCUCCGGAAUCCCCACGCCGUGAAGUCAUAAUCCUGUGUCUGUGACACCCUGUCGGUUGCUAUGGAAACGACUCGCUGUUAAACACUGGCGUUCUCAAUGAGGGUUGCAGGGGUUCCGAGGCGGACCUGGGGAGCAGAAACCCCUGUUUAGGGUGAACCGUGGCGGGCGCCGAUGGCCUCUUGGAAGAGGACAGACUAGCAGCUGCGAGGGAGAUGGGACUGGGUUUCACCCCUGAAAGGGCCCCUGGAGACAGCGGGUGAGGGACAGGGGAAGGGGCUGGUGGUCCUCUCUCCCGAGGCCCCGCACCAUCACACGGAUGACUUGGCACAAUAGCUGCUGGGCCAGUGUUGUCGCCUGUGACUGUACUUUAGGGAAACUGACAGGGAGAUCAUGAUGUCGCCAUUUUGAUGGGGUCCCCAGAGGAGAGAUGUCCUCCCCAACGGCUCCUGGACAGGACUGGGGAAAGAGUUCAGAUAAGUAUCUCUGUGGUCUGGGCUGUCACCUUACAACUGCACAACUCUGGACCUCCAGCAUCAGAACCACUGGGGCCUAGGUUAAUAAUACAGAUUUUCAGGCUCCAAUUUGGACAGACGAAACUGAUCUCUGGGGUGGGACCCAGGAAUCUACGUGUAAACAAGCACCCAGGGGAGUUCUGCUCACUGAAAUUUGAGAAUCCCUGAUUUAGAAGGAGGACUAUGCUCUGUGCAUGUUCUCUGAAAUGUUGGGUCAAUCAGGACCUGUCUACUGAAACUGCUCCAACCAGCCAAGGUGCAGAGAAAAGAUGCGUGCAGGGCCGAAAACCAGGGUGCUCUGGAGGCAGGGAGCCCUCGAGAAUGUAAAGCCAGCAAGCUGUUACAGAGUGAUUUGCACAGAACAGACACUCAGUUGAUAUUUGUCAAUUUGCUGUGUUUAAGAACCUUGCUGAAUUAAUUUAAAAGGUAUUUUUAAAAGAAUGAAAUUGAGGAAAAAACCUUCAAGGUUCAGAAAAUGUGAAGUUCUCAUUUACUUGUUUAUGAAAUUGUUUUUGAGUCCAAUAAAGAUGCUCAGCUAAAAUGGUUUUUUUGUUUUAAAUCUCAGAAUUAAGUUUCUCUUAGUUUUGGGCAGUUCGGUCCAGCUACUUGCAAAAGACAGGCUUCCAUAUCUCCUGUAUGCAGCCCUGAAGGACCCAACAGAAGUAAAAUAGUUAUUUAAGGAAUGCAAAGGACUAGGGACAGGAUGCAGAUUAAAAUGUUUAAGAUGAUGUCUGCAGAUGAUGUUUGUAGAUGCUUAAGUUUGUUGAAUUCUUAGUCUUCCUCACAAAGCAGCUAAUUACUUUCAAGACUCUAGUGAGCCUCAAUUUACUCCAAUUUAUGAUUUCCAAUGGUUCUGCAUAAAACUGGGUUGCCGUUUUAUGAAAUUGUUUGCAUCUGCUUGACGUGGGCGCAAACUUCACAGUGAGGAGAUAAUGUGAGGGUUUUGCCUUCUUGCAAAACAACUUACAUAUAUAUGUGAAAAAACUGGGGUUGGGGUUUGAAUUAUGUGGACUGCCUGUGCGUAGUAAGCUCUCUGGUCAGUUACCUAUUUGGCUUUGUGUGGACACAGCUCUUAGGAGGGAGGGUGGUGGAAUUCCUGCUCAUUACCUAUAGUAUCUUGCAGGAGGGCUGCUGAACGCCGGAGCCUUACAACUGUUAAACUCAGGCAGAGCUCGGGAAAUGCUGCCCGGAUGGUGGGCACUGGGCACUGGGCACUGGGCACUGGAAUUCUCCUGGUUGUAGGCAAGCUGGGGGACAGGGAGGUGAGAGCUGGAAUAGUCAUUCUGAAGUGUGAUAUUUAUUGGACCCCAUACUAGGUGACUGAUGGAGAGGGGCUACCACUCUUCCAGCUAAACUCCGCUCUGGUUGGGACCCAGCAAUUAUUUUCCAUAGCGAAGUGUUAAUAAAAUAUCUGUUACUCCCAACACAACCUCCUGGGGGAAGGGACCUGUCUGUCUGCUUCAACUUUGGAUCCUCAGUGCCCACAUCAGGAUACCUGGCCUGAGAGAGGGUCCUGCCGGUAUUACCCUGGAGGAAGGAAUGCUGCACAGAGGCCGAGAGGAAUUUGAACAGACUGGCCUUGCUGGGUUUUUAUCUCUUUUUGUCCAAUCCCAUUUUGACACAGUUGUCCAUGCUCCAAUCAUGCUUAUCCAAUGAAGUUUCCAUAACAGGCCUGAGAGGACAGGGUUCAGGAGCUUCCGGACAGCUGAGCAGGUGGAGGUUCCUGGAGGGUGGUGUGCCAGGGAGGGUGUGGAAGCUCUGCCCCUUCCCCCAUACCUUGUCCUAUGCAUUCCUUUAUCUGCAUCCUUCAUUUUAUUUUAUUUUUUUUUGAGACGGAGUCUUGCUCUUGUCGUCCAGGCUGGAAUGCAGUGGUGCGCGAUCUUGGCGCACUGCAACCUCCGCCUCCCGAGUUCAAGAGAUUCUCUUGCCUGAGCCUCCCGAGUAGCUGGGAUUACAGGCACCCGCCACCAUCCCUGGCUAAUUUUUGUAUUUUUAGUAGAGAUGGGGUUUCACCAUGUUGGCCAGGUUAGUCUUGAACUCCUGACCUCAGGUGAUCCACCCACCUCAGCCUCCCAAAGUGCUGAGAUUACAGGCGUGAGCCACAGUGCCCGGCCUGUAUCCUUUAUAAUAUCUUUUAUAAACAACCAAUCAGUAAAUGUGUUACUCUGACUUCUGUGAGCUGCUCUAGCAAAUUAAUCAAAUCCACAGAAGGGUCAUGGGAACCCCAACUUGAAGCCUGUCCGUCAGAAGUUCCAGAGUCCUGGACUUGUGACUGGUGUCUGAAGUGGGCAAGUCUUGGGGACUGAGCCCCUAGCCUGUGGGAUCUGAUGCUAUCUCCACAUAGAUAGCAAUGGAAUUGAAUUGGCGGGCACCUGGCUGGUGUCUGCUGCAGAGCUCAUUGUUUGCUUAGUGGUGGAGAGAAGUCUCCCUCCACAUGUGGUCACAGCAUCUUCUGUCUGUGUUGAUUGCUUUUGAUGUUGAUCGAGAGAACAGGAAAAAGCACAUUGAAUGUCUCAAUGAUGAAGAUGACAAUAAUCUGGCUUCUAGGUUGUUAUGCGGCAGGCAACAGCUGUGCAGAUCCUAAUAAUCUACUCUGGGUGACAGUUUAACACAGGGGUUGGCAAAUGUGGCCCACUUCCUAUUUUUAUAAAUAAAGUUUUAUUGAAACAUGGCCAUGCUCAUUCAUUUACAUAUCAUGCUGCUCUGCUAGAGUUGAGUGGUGGUGAUAAGACACCUAUGGUCAAUAGAGUCCUUUACAGAAGAAAGGAUUUACUAUUCGGCCCUUUACAGAAAAAGUCUGUCAUCCUGCCCUCAUUCAUUAGUAGACAACCAGCUGGUUCCUGGACUUCCUUGAGGAAAGUGCUAUAUUAAGCAGUUGUGGGUAUAAAGUCUGGGCUCCAACACUUGCUCUGUGACCUUGGGCAAGUUACUUACCUAGUCUGGGCUCAUCAUUUUCACAGGUAUAACAGGAGUAAUGACAUGGUGGGGAUGAAGUGGGAUAUUGUCUGGACCACGCUUUGCAUAGUGUCUCAUGGCUAGGAAGUACUCUAUACAAAGUAGUUACUAUUAUUAGCUAUUAUAUUUCAACUGAUGAAAGGUACAAAGAAACUCCCAGGAAGCGGGUCAUUGCUGCAUGCCGCUGUCUUUAAAGAACGCCCAGCAGCAAUCCCAUACGUAGCCAACAAGAUAUGUGGACGUCAAAAGUAAGUGCUCCUUGGGUGCAGCACACCAACAUGGCACAUAUAUACACAUGUAACAAACCUGCACGUUGUGCACAUGUACCCUAAAACUUAAAGUAUAAUAAUAAAAAAAUUUUAAAAAAAAGUAAGUGCUCCUAUGCAACAUACCCAGUAAAUUAAUGAUUCCAACUUCCUUUUCAGUUAAAGCAGUGGAUCAGAAUUUGAAAAGGAGUAAAGGUCAAGGCCAUGAGGUCUAACUAACACGGUAGCAUCAGAGCCUGGCCCAUAGUAGGCCCCCAGUGUCUACCGGCUGAAUGGAUGGAGGCUGGUUGUUUAACUGUCAAACCAUACUCUCUGAUGAUAAGACCACAGUUAGCCAGAAGAUAAAGUUUCUGCCUCCAAUAUUUUUGGGUCUUAGAAAGGAAAACAGUUUGCUAAAGAUGACAGGAAACUCAAAACAAGGACCUGUUAAUGCUUCCCCCAACUGGACGGAGGCAUUGCAAAAGGAUUCCUGGGCAACAGAUGGGCAAAGAAAAAUGUUUAAAAACAAAAGCAGGCACAUAAGGUCAUGAAUUGGCCCAAAAUAACCUGGGACACUGAGCAGACGGAUGCAAGCAGUGCACCUGACGGAAAUGAGGCCAAGCUGAUGAGCUGAAAUAGCCUCACUGGUGCCCUCCAUCCUGCUUUAGGAGGCCUCAGCAUGGCAAAGAGGCAUGCAUUAGCGUUAUUAGGUUUAGGUUUCCUCACAUCCUUAGUGGAUUGCCUUCAUUCCUAAGUCCCUAAAAAAUUGGAAACCACUCCACUUACCAGGAGCACACUUUGGAAUGCAGAUCUGGAAGCUAUUUUUUCCCUCCAGACAUUUCAUGACUUUGGUUUCUACAACAGCAGGCGAUGGUGAUGCUGCCAAGUUUCAAGAGAAGGGCACCUUAUCUGCAAAGUCACGAAUCCAAGGAUCCACAUGGGCUCCCACUGGCAAGGGCGGAAGGAAGUUGUGUGUCUUAGCUUCUUGAAAGAUCAGAAGAAGAUUGGGAGGUUUGGGUAUACAGGUACCUCACUGUACUGUGGUGCAACCCCCAGGGGAAAGACUGCUGGUAGCUUCUCAGAAUCAGUAGUGGGUGGGGGCUGUGUAGCAGAGCGUCGUAGUAAAUGCCCAUUUGGUUGCAAUGAACAGAAACUCAAACCAGCUAAAGCAAAAAGAGGGCACCUAUAGGGAAGAAAAGCCAGCUCCUGAUGUCCAAGCCUGACUCUUCAGCUUUGCAUAGCCACUGAUUCUCUGACCUUCCUCAUUUCCUCCCAGUAAACUCUCUUUCUGUUUAAGUUAGCCACAGGAGGUAUCUGUUGUUUACAACCAAGGGAUCUUGAGUGAUACAAAGGGUCCUAGUGGAACCCAAGGGCAGGUACUGGAACUGGCCUUCACAAGGAAGGGAACUGGGAAUCAGAAAGUCAUUGGGAAUCAAGGUAACUUUCUUCUGGGUCAGCUGGGAAUGUAUUCAGCUUCAAAUAGCAGAAAACCCAAUGUGAGUAGAUUGUAAAAAUCUGGAGCUCCUCCCACACAGACUCUGGCUUUAUCUGAUGGGAUAUUAACAAACAUAAGGCAAGUAGAAACUUGAAAAGUGCUUGUGCACUGGGGCUUGUUCUCACCUGCUGUUCUUGGCAACCUGUGGCCACCACAUGUGAACGAGCCUAGUCCAGUCGGCUGAAGGAUGAGUGGGCCUGCUGAGCAGAGACAAAGCGUGGCAGUGGAAGGCCUCUCUAGACCAGGUUUCUCAACCUCAGUGCUACUGACAUUUUAGAUCAAAUAAUUCUUUGUUAUGGGGAGUUCUUUUGUCCAUUGUAGAAUGUUUAGCAGCACCUUUGGCCUCUACCUCUAGAAGAGCACCUGCCCUUCCUUCGUUGUGACAACUAAAAUUAUGUCCAGACAUGGCCAAAGUUCUCUUGGGGGGCAAAAUUGCUCCUUGUUGAGAACUACUACCCUAACCCAACUUGCCUGCCAAGGCCAGGUGUAUGAGGCCAGGUGUAUGAAAGAGGCCAUUCUAAACCAUCCAGCCCCAGCCAAGACAGUCCAGACAGGAAAAGUGUGCAGCUUGACCCAUGGAAUCAAAAGAAAUAAUAAAUAUUUG